UGCAAGUCGAACGGCAGCGCGGGCUUCGGCCUGGCGGCGAGUGGCGAACGGGUGAGUAAUAUAUCGGAACGUACCCAAGAGUGGGGGAUAACGUAGCGAAAGUUACGCUAAUACCGCAUACGAUCUAAGGAUGAAAGCAGGGGAUCGCAAGACCUUGUGCUCCUGGAGCGGCCGAUAUCUGAUUAGCUAGUUGGUGGGGUAAAGGCCCACCAAGGCAACGAUCAGUAGCUGGUCUGAGAGGACGACCAGCCACACUGGAACUGAGACACGGUCCAGACUCCUACGGGAGGCAGCAGUGGGGAAUUUUGGACAAUGGGGGCAACCCUGAUCCAGCAAUGCCGCGUGAGUGAAGAAGGCCUUCGGGUUGUAAAGCUCUUUUGUCAGGGAAGAAAAGGUCGUGGCUAAUAUCCACGACUGCUGACGGUACCUGAAGAAUAAGCACCGGCUAACUACGUGCCAGCAGCCGCGGUAAUACGUAGGGUGCAAGCGUUAAUCGGAAUUACUGGGCGUAAAGCGUGCGCAGGCGGUUUCGUAAGUCUGUCGUGAAAUCCCCGGGCUUAACCUGGGAAUGGCGAUGGAGACUGCGAGGCUAGAGUUUGGCAGAGGGGGGUAGAAUUCCACGUGUAGCAGUGAAAUGCGUAGAGAUGUGGAGGAACACCGAUGGCGAAGGCAGCCCCCUGGGUCAAAACUGACGCUCAUGCACGAAAGCGUGGGGAGCAAACAGGAUUAGAUACCCUGGUAGUCCACGCCCUAAACGAUGUCUACUAGUUGUUGGGUCUUAAUUGACUUAGUAACGCAGCUAACGCGUGAAGUAGACCGCCUGGGGAGUACGGUCGCAAGAUUAAAACUCAAAGGAAUUGACGGGGACCC
rnacentral:rRNA from 1 species